GACGAGGGGUCCAAGCGUUGUUCGGAAUCAUUGGGCGUAAAGCGGGUGUAGGCGGCUCUAUAAGUCAGAAGUGAAAGCCCCGAGCUUAACUUGGGAAGUGCUUUUGAUACUGCAGAGCUUGAAUGUGGGAGAGGGUAGUGGAAUUCCAGGUGUAGUGGUGAAAAUACGUAGAUAUCUGGAGGAACACCGGUGGCGAAGGCGG
rnacentral:rRNA from 1 species